rnacentral:rRNA from 1 species
AUGACUAUCAAUAAGAGCCAGGGACAGACUCUCUCAGCUGUUGGAUUAUACCUGAAAAGCCCUGUUUUCACUCAUGGCCAGCUUUACGUGGCGGUUUCACAUGUGACUUCCAAGAAAAACUUGAAAAUACUUAUCGAGAACGAAGAUGGCACACUUGGAUCUCAGACUAGAAACAUAGUUUUCUCUGAGAUCUUUCAGUCUUUGGAAUAG